UACUCCUUUUUCCCUCUUUCCUCGGAAUUACUGGGCGUAAAGCGUGCGUAGGUGGUUUGUUAAGUCUGAUGUGAAAGCCCUGGGCUCAACCUGGGAAUUGCAUUGGAUACUGGCAGGCUAGAGUGCGGUAGAGGGUAGUGGAAUUCCCGGUGUAGCAGUGAAAUGCGUAGAGAUCGGGAGGAACAUCUGUGGCGAAGGCGACUACCUGGACCAGCACUGACACUGAGGCACGAAAGCGUGGGGAGCAAACAGG
rnacentral:rRNA from 1 species